AACGCACAUUGCGCCCCUUGGUAUUCCGAGGGGCAUGCCUGUUCGAGCGUCAUUACAACCCUCAAGCACUGCUUGGUAUUGGGCUCCGCUGGUUUCAGCGGGCCUUAAAGUCAGUGGCAGCGCCGUCUGAGCUCUGAGCGUAGUAAAUCUCCUCGCUAUAGAGACCAGGUGGUCCCUCGCCAUCAAACCCCCCCAACUUCCUAAGUUUGACCUCGGAUCAGGUAGGGAUACCCGCUGAACUUAA
rnacentral:misc_RNA from 1 species